UGCAUGGUUCCAUACCAAUCUAAACUAAUGGAACUAAACAAUCAUUUUGGUUAAUUUAAAAUGUCAAAUUGGUAUUUCUCCCGUUGUAUCACAUCUCAUUUGCUGUUGCAAAGAUCAAACAUGGCAAAUGGUGGUCCAAUUCAAUACCAUCAUGUUGCAGUACUACAUUUAGAGCUUCAGUUGCAUAUUUUUUUCAGUGACCAAAAUGAACGAGAUUUUCUUGGGUUAACUGAAUAACGUUUUGGAUGAACCAGCACUAAACAAAUCCACUAAUAUGAGUGGAAUUAAGAAUUUAGUUUUGUUUAUGAUGUAUGUCAGUUACUGUCCUUUGUACGUCGUGAUUGCUAACAUCGGUGCACUCUCUUUAAACUUGUGAUUUCACCAGGAUGAAAUGAUUUCUCUCUCUGAAGUUUCACCCGUUGAAAAUGCAUUGGACAUUUUAGAUUUGAUACCACAAUCAGCAAUUCUACAAACCUUUUCUAUAAGACUUUAAACCCGCAAUUCUCUACUGCACUCCUUCCUCCUGCACUUAACAGGGAGAUUUUUGAGGUCUCUCCCCUAGAUUAACUUAGAUUAGAUUUUUAUAGCUGGUAUUAAUUAAUUUUCAUUUUGCAUUUCCUACAAGUUACCCAUCAAUAUGAAAUAAGCACUAGAAGUUUAAUUUUGUUGAUUUUAUAUAUUUGCUUUUGUGGAUGUAAGAUGUGAUUACUAAAGUGAUCGGCUCCCUAACUUAUGUUCCUAGGGGAGUAAACAGUUGCUCCAAAGUUUAAUCGCCUCUUGAAGACACAUUUAUCAAGCUUCUUGAACCAUUCGAUUAGUGAUUUGUUCGAUAAUCUCGUAGAUGAUGGGUUUCUGUCUCGUUUUUACUUGGUUGUGAUUUUCUAGCCGUAAAGAUUUCAGGAGUUUCCAAAGCUGUUGGCUGUCAAACUGGAUUUUGGUUCUAGGAGUCCGGGAAGCUAUGGAAGAUGUACUAUUCAUGCAAUAAAGCUGCACAGACUUGUUAGAGUAUCUUCUAACACAAUCAAGUCUAAGCUGCAAGUUUUGAAGCAUAUCGCCGUAGUUAGUAAAGACUGUCAAGCAUACUUGCUGCCCGCUGCUACUUGCUGCAAUUAUUUCAUCCACUGUGAUGAAGGCUAUUAAGCUCAUUCUGUACUUGUUGAUUGCUCCUCCCUUCAUGAUCAGAUGAAAACAUCCAGGAUGGAAUUCUCUUUUGCUCUCUGCCUUGGAUGGCUAAAGCCUGAGAUCUUCCUUGUCAGCCGGUGAUUUUAAACUGUCCAACCAUUCAGCAAUUUGUAGACAUGUUAAUGAGGUGUUCUUUUACUUCUUUUGGAGCUCAAUUUGCCAUAUCUUCCGUGCUGCUUGUAGUUCAAAGUAGCCAGUAUUUUACAGCAGAAAGAUGUGUAUUAGCUGAACCCUGAUAGCUGCUUGCAUCCUCUUGAAGUUGUAUCUUAGCUCCACAACAGGCAACAUAUUUUUUCUGAGUGUUUUGCAGUUGACUA